GACGAACGCUGGCGGCGUGCUUAACACAUGCAAGUCGAACGGAAAGGCCCUGCUUUUGUGGGGUGCUCGAGUGGCGAACGGGUGAGUAACACGUGAGUAACCUGCCCUUGACUUUGGGAUAACUUCAGGAAACUGGGGCUAAUACCGGAUAGGAGCUCCUGCUGCAUGGUGGGGGUUGGAAAGUUUCGGCGGUUGGGGAUGGACUCGCGGCUUAUCAGCUUGUUGGUGGGGUAGUGGCUUACCAAGGCUUUGACGGGUAGCCGGCCUGAGAGGGUGACCGGGCACAUUGGGACUGAGAUACGGGCCGGACUCCUACGGGAGGCAGCAGUGGGGAAUAUUGCACAAUGGGCGGAAGCCUGAUGCAGCAACGCCGCGUGCGGGAUGACGGCCUUCGGGUUGUAAACCGCUUUCGCCUGUGACGAAGCGUGAGUGACGGUAAUGGGUAAAGAAGCACCGGCUAACUACGUG
rnacentral:rRNA from 1 species